UUUUCUUAAAGAAAAGUUGAGCUUCUGUAAGCCAGUACAAGACUAAAAAGCAUCGUAAUGGAUCAGGGGCAUCAGUGACGGAGCAGCGUGGUGAAUGUCGUUCUCCGCCGUUCCACCUACCUACGGCUACACCACCAUGCUCUCCACGGCCAGAGGCCGUCCCAAAGCUGUCACCUGGCCAGUGUGGUGUGUCCAGUUCCUGGCUGGGCUGAGCAGAGGGCUCUGUGUUGCUAGCAUUGCAUUCGUACAAGGAAUUGUCUGCAAGACUGCAUAAAGCAGUUGGGCAGAAUGUCAGAAUUGGCACUUAACUGUCUUGCAAACAUGUCCACAGACUAGCAGCCUUAGCAUCACCAGCAAAAUGGUGGCAGUGAGGUCAGGAGCGGGAGGCCAACAGUGGGCUGGGGCUCUGUGGGUGAAGGGACACUGGUGCCUGCUGCCCAUAGGACAGAGGGCUGUGCUCAGAGCCCUGGUCUGAGGGCAGGGUUCUGCUCUAGGAUCCCAGGAAGGGUGUUAACAGGGAGGGAACACGUCCAUUAUGAACUGUCCUCAUGCCAGGAGAGUCCAGGAAGUCAAGACAUGAAAGUAUGAGCGUGAGUUGCAACGGUAACCAGCGCCUGGCCUUUGGGCAUUCAGGUGGAGAGGCAGCCGGCACAAAGGCAUGGGGCUGGAAGGGGCCAGAGACAGCAACUUCAGGGGUCUGCCUGCUGCCCACAGGGGGAAGCCCGUUUGUGUGGCCGGCCCAGACCUGCCUGGCCAGGCUGGACUGCACUUCCCUUGGGUCCCAUCCUUGGUGCAAAGGGGCUUGUUGUGUGCAGGUUGGAGGCCACCAAGGAAGCUGAGCACAUGACCCCCUUGGGCUUCUCUGCAUGUGGUCCUGCAGGCUUUGUGGGUGGGUGUAGACCAGAUUCGGGUAAGGGGCAGCACCCGCCUCCCUGCCAUGCACACAGGCCUGACCACAGGGAGCAGUGGGGUCUGACUGGCAUGGAUGGUGACCCUGAUGGCAACAGCCCCUGGCACCGGGUGCUCGGUGCAGGCAUGCAGGCACUGGGCUGAGUACUACCCUGAAGCCAGCAUGGCAGGCCCCAGAUGGACACAGCACGGCCAUGGUGGUGGGUCUGGAUCUGAACUCGGGGCCCAGGUUGCACAGAUGACAGAGCAGGUGAGUCCAGGUGCAGGGGCCACUUGCACACCCCGGAGCUUGACCUUGAUACUCUAGCAGGCGCAGUGUCGUCGGAGUUGUGAGAGGGAAAGAAACGAGCCGAUGGAGCUUGGUGUCGUCUGGGCCUGGGGCUGCUUGAGGCUCGCCUCCCGCCUGGCCGCUUCCCCUCCACAUGUGGUGCCACCCAAGGCAGAGCCCCUGAGCUGCGUGUCUGGGGCAGGGGCAGUCAUGCCGAGCAGGGCCUGGGCAGCGGGCUGGCCGAGGUCACGUGUGGCCAGUGGACCUGGCUCGGGCUUUGAAGCACGGAGCUGGCAGGCUUGGCUGCGUGUCCCCAGCAGGCCUCUGCGGCCACUCCAGCACUCGCCCCCAGGCGGCGUCCUGUUCCUCUUCACUCCGCUGCUGGUUAAAGGCACAGUGAGGAACCGAAACCCGUGAUUUCUCCAGAGAUCGCCAGCGGUGUCUGGCCUGCACCUUGGGGUCAGAGGUUCAGCUCAUCUCCUCUUAAUGGUGUCAACUGGGCUUUCACCAGAGGAUCGCCAUCUGAGAGAGACCGCCCCUCCCGCGUAACCAACGCGUGCUCCCCAGCAAGUCUCAAGAGUCCAGCCGACGCCACCGAUGAAAAGCGCCGCCCAGUCGCCUGCGCCAUGGUUUGGAUGGCCGGAGGGGCCCCUUCAAGGGCCGCUGCUCGUCCUGAGGACACUUGACUGCUCGGACGUGCUGAGUGUGGUCCCCGCAGUCGUGACACUCCAGCCAGAAGCAGCAGAGGAGCCCCUUGAUCUCUGAUGAAAGACAGACACCUCCGCGGUAAACCAAGGGGAUUUGCUUGGACAGGGUGAUUCCACCUGACCUCACAGGUUGUCUUUUUUAGCGGGUAAAUAACGUCAGUUCAGUGCCAUUCAACCAGCUGCCUCCAAACAGAAGGGCUGUAAGCCACUACUACAUGAUAAUUGUUUCAAUAUAAACAAAUGUUCUAAAAAAUUAAAAUGUGACAUUUAUUUUAACAUAA